rnacentral:rRNA from 1 species
UACGUGGGGUCCAAGCGUUGUCCGGAUUUAUUGGGCGUAAAGAGCUCGUAGGCGGUUCCGUAAGUCGGAUGUGAAAACUCAGGGCUCAACCCGGAGACGCCAUCUGAUACUGCGGUGACUGGAGUCUGGUAGGGGAACACGGAAUACCUGGUGUAGCGGUGAAAUGCGCAGAUAUCAGGAGGAACACCGGUGGCGAAGGCGGAUCUCUGGGCCAGUACUGACACUGAGGAGCGAAAGCGUGGGUAGCGAACAGG